UAUUACUUUAUAGCACCGACUAGAAAUGUGAGGAGUAAAAAAUGAAACCAUUAAAUUAGAAAUAAAAUGAUUCAUAAACUUUUUUGUAAAAUUAAAAUGUACACUUUAAAUUACCGUUAUGCUAGUAUUAAUCUGCUUUAUUUCAAAUGUGUUGGUCACAUUUUGGCGUUGUUAUAAAUUAGUGGGUAACUUAGUAUUUGAGGAGUUCAUGUAAGCAAUGCCAUUACUGACGGACGCUCUGUGUAUUAACGUACUUUCUCGUAGAGCGAAAGGAUUGGCGAGAAUAUUCAGUCCUGCAGUGACUAUUCGAAGUGAAUUGAUUUAAAACAGCCUAGUUUCAACUAUGAUUUCGUAACGAAGUCCUCUUGACUGAACCUGUGAUCUAGGUUGGUUUUGCAUCCAAGCAAGCAUAGCCAAACUUCAAAAGCAGCGUUCUUUAUUUAUGUGCAAUUGAAGAUUGAUAUUUAUUUUUAUUGUGUGGGUACCUUGUCUUUGAAGGCCAAACUAUGAAAAUGGUGUUAUCUCAGCGACAACGGGAAGAAUU